AUGGCCUCCGUUGCCGGAAACACCGCGAGAUCGAUAUUCCGAUCAUCCUCCGCCUGUCGUACGGCAUUCCGAAUCAGCUCGGAAGCUAAAGCGGCUCGUUCUCCUUUCCGAAUUGCCUCCAAUAAGCCUACAUCACAAUCCGCAUUCAGGAGUCCUGUUGAAUUGAGCUUCUGUGUGGAAUCCAUGUUGCCGUUUCAUUCGAUAACUGCUUCCGCGUUGAUGACUUCAAAGUUAGUAGUUUCUCAACGCAGCUAUGGUUGGCUUCCUGAAGAUUGCAAUGAUGAUGUGUGA
rnacentral:lncRNA from 1 species